UAGGGAAUCUUCCACAAUGGGCGCAAGCCUGAUGGAGCAACACCGCGUGAGUGAAGAAGGGUUUCGGCUCGUAAAGCCCUGUUGUUAAAGAAGAACACGUAUGAGAGUAACUGUUCAUACGUUGACGGUAUUUAACCAGAAAGUCACGGCUAACUACGUGCCAC
rnacentral:rRNA from 1 species